GACGGGGGAUGCAAGCGUUAUCCGGAAUCACUGGGCGUAAAGCGUCUGUAGGACGUGAUGCAAGUCACUGGAGCAAAACUCUGGCUCAACCGGAGGAAAGCCAGUGAAACUGCAUGACUAGAGUGUGGGAGAGGUAGAAGGAAUUCCCUGAGUAGCGGUGAAAUGCGUAGAUACAGGGAAGAACACCGGAGGCGAAAGCGUUCUACUGGAACACAACUGACACUGAGAGACGAAAGCUAGGGGAGCGAAUGGG
rnacentral:rRNA from 1 species